UACAGAGGUCCCAAGCGUUGUUCGGAUUUACUGGGCGUAAAGGGUGCGUAGGCGGUCGGGUAAGUCUGAUGUGAAAUCUCACAGCUUAACUGUGAAACUGCAUUGGAUACUAUCCGGCUCGAGGAAUGGAGGGGAGACUGGAAUACUUGGUGUAGCAGUGAAAUGCGUAGAUAUCUGGAGGAACACCGGUGGCGAAGGCGGCAUCCUGGACCAAUUCUGACGCUGAGGAGCGAAAGCCAGGGGAGCAAACGGG
rnacentral:rRNA from 1 species